rnacentral:rRNA from 1 species
CAUGCAAGUCGAGCGGCAGCGCGAGUAGUUUACUACUUGGCGGCGAGCGGCGGACGGCUGAGUAACGCGUGGGAACAUGCCCCAAAGUGAGGAAUAACUGCCCGAAAGGGUAGCUAAUGCCGCAUAUGAUCUUCGGAUUAAAGGAUUUAUCCGCUUUGGGAGUGGCCCGCGUACGAUUAGAUAGUUGGUGAGGUAAUGGCUCACCAAGUCGACGAUCGUUAACUGGUUUGAGAGGAUGAUCAGUCAGACUGGAACUGAGACACGGUCCAGACUCCUACGGGAGGCAGCAGUAAGGAAUCUUCCACAAUGGACGAAAGUCUGAUGGAGCAACUCCGCGUGAGGGAUGACGGCCUUCGGGUUGUAAACUCUUUCCAGGGACGAAGCGCAAGUGACGGUACCUGCAGAAGAAGCACCGGCUAACUACGUGCCAGCAGCCGCGGUCAUACGUAGGACCCAAGCGUUAUCCGGAGUGACUGGGCGUAAAGAGUUGCGUAGGUGGCUUGUAAAGUGAAUAGUGAAACCUGGUGGCUCAACCAUACAGACUAUUAUUCAAACUCACAAGCUCGAGAAUGGUAGAGGUAACUGGAAUUUCUUGUGUAGGAGUGAAAUCCGUAGAUAUAAGAAGGAACACCAAUGGCGUANGCAGGUUACUGGACCAUUUCUGACACUGA